UACGAAGGGGGCUAGCGUUGCUCGGAAUCACUGGGCGUAAAGCGCACGUAGGCGGACUCUUAAGUCGGGGGUGAAAUCCUGGAGCUCAACUCCAGAACUGCCUUCGAUACUGGGAGUCUUGAGUUCGGGAGAGGUGAGUGGAACUGCGAGUGUAGAGGUGAAAUUCGUAGAUAUUCGCAAGAACACCAGUGGCGAAGGCGGCUCACUGGCCCGAUACUGACGCUGAGGUGCGAAAGCGUGGGGAGCAACAGGG
rnacentral:rRNA from 1 species